UACGAAGGGGGCUAGCGUUGUUCGGAAUUACUGGGCGUAAAGAGCGCGUAGGCGGUUUAUCAAGUUGGGAGUGAAAUCCCGGGGCUUAACCUCGGAACUGCUUCCAAAACUGAUAGACUAGAGAACGAUAGAGGAUGGUGGAAUUCCUAGUGUAGAGGUGAAAUUCUUAGAUAUUAGGAGGAACACCGGUGGCGAAGGCGGCCUUCUGGACCAGUACUGACGCUCAUGCACGAAAGCGUGGGGAGCAAACAGG
rnacentral:rRNA from 1 species